rnacentral:rRNA from 1 species
CGCAGAUCAGCAUGCUGCGGUGAAUACGUUCCCGGGCCUUGUACACACCGCCCGUCACACCAUGGGAGUCGGUAACACCCGAAGUCGGUAGCCUAACCGUAAGGAGGGCGCCGCCGAAGGUGGGAUUGAUGACUGGGGUGAAGUCGUAACAAGGUAUC